GCAGUGAGGGGUUAGGUGCCUUGCUCAAGGGCACUUCAGCACUGGAGUGCUAACCAGUGGGCCACGGCUGCCCUUCAAAUACAGGAAGGGAGAGUGCAGGGUGAAACCCAUCAAAACCGAGACAACAUUCCAGUUUGAGCACCCAGAGAAGGAGGAGGUGAUCGCCAACUAUGUGUCUCGCUUCAAUCCAGGGGAGGCAGUUUGAAGCCCACAUAUUGUCCUUGGCUGUCAGGAAACUCCCGACGAACACGCAGGACCACACAUGACGGGAUGACGACCCUUAUUCUGCAUCCAAGGAAUCCCCAACACCAACUGACAAAGCUCCUGUAGGCAAGCUAUCUGUAACGACUAAAAAAAAAAAAACAUUGCAG